GAAGGGGUUGCAAUAAACUGGUGGCUGCGACUGUUUAAUAAAAACACAGCACUCUGCAAACACGAAAGUGGACGUAUAGGGUGUGACGCCUGCCCGGUGCCGGAAGAUUAAAUGAUGGGGUGCAAGCUCUUGAUUGAAGUCCCGGUAAACGGCGGCCGUAACUAUAACGGUCCUAAGGUAGCGAAAUUCCUUGUCGGGUAAGUUCCGACCUGCACGAAUGGCGUAACGAUGGCCACACUGUCUCCUCCCGAGACUCAGCGAAGUUGAAGUGUUUGUGAUGAUGCAAUCUACCCGCGGCUAGACGGAAAGACCCCAUGAACCUUUACUGUAGCUUUGCAUUGGACUUUGAACCGAUCUGUGUAGGAUAGGUGGGAGGCUAUGAAACCGGAACGCUAGUUUCGGUGGAGCCGUCCUUGAAAUACCACCCUGGUUUGUUUGAGGUUCUAACCUUGGUCCGUGAUCCGGAUCGGGGACAGUGCAUGGUAGGCAGUUUGACUGGGGCGGUCUCCUCCCAAAGGGUAACGGAGGAGUACGAAGGUACGCUAGGUA
rnacentral:rRNA from 1 species